GGGGGUGAAGCUCAAUGGCAGAGCCCUUGCCUAGCAUGCAUGAGGCCUGGGUUCAGUCCCCAGCACUGCAA
rnacentral:tRNA from 1 species